rnacentral:rRNA from 1 species
CCUACGGGGCGCAGCAGGCGCGAAAACUUUACAAUGCGGGCAACCGUGAUAAGGGGACACCGAGUGCCAGCAACAUUUGCUGGCUGUCCAGGUGCGUAAAAUGCACCUGUUAGCAAGGGCCGGGCAAGACCGGUGCCAGCCGCCGCGGUAA